UGUUUUAACAAGAGCGCUUGAUGUUCGCCUUUUGCGCGUGCUUGCCCAUAAAAUGGGCAUCCCAUGACUACAUGAUGGUGUGCUGAUAGCCAGAUAACACCUGCUCGCGCAACCUACGUCGAGCAUCCCCACUACAAAAAUUGCGCCAAGAAAUGGACGCAAACUUGGUCUUGGGAAUGCAUCAAGGAAUGAGCUGUAGCAGCAUGGAUGGGAGUGACGUGAGAGGUCUGCACCCAUCAAGCGCUGCCAGCCAUAUGGGCAUGAGUUGCGGUAGCAUGUCGCCUGGAGACGUGAGAGGGAUCCACCAGACAAACCAGCAUGCAAACCCAACUACAGCACUCGGUAUUGGUUGCAGCCCCAUGGGGAGUAGUGACAUGAGAACGCUGCAUCCUGUCAUUGACUCUGACCGAGGGAUAAGUGGAAACAGCUUACCUAACAGUAGCAGUGGCGGUAUGCACACAGCCAUAGAACGGGAAAAAGCAUCUGUCCACAGUGGCAGCACCACUGGGGGUGGCAGUGGCAGCAACCUUGGCAACCCUUCCCCAUCUGGUGAGAACAUGGGAAACUCUGCUGGAACUGUUGGAACUAACAGCAAUUCUCCCGAGAACUCUGCUGGUGCAUCUAAAGACGAGGAAGAGCGCAGUGGACCUCCACAGCCUUCAGCUAAUAAGACUGGCAAGGAACUCGUCUUGGCAGCUCCCCGUGAAAGCAAACGGCCCAACAUGAAAAAGAGGAUGGACUUGUCUUUGGCAGACAAGGUUAAGAUAGUCUACUCUCUCAAGGAGCCUGGAGCAAAACAUGGUGCCGUAGCGAAGCUCUACGGUGUUGCACGGUCUACUGUUUGCAAAAUAAGCCAGAAGUCUGAAGAAAUCCUACUCCAGUUUGAAACAGACAGCAAUCAUGAUCGAAAACGGCGGCGUGAAGGCAAGGAGCGCCAGGUAGGAGAAGAACUGUAUACAUGGUUUCAGAACCAGGUUGCUCAAGGGUCUCGCCUGUCGGGCAAUGACAUAAAGGAAAAAGCACGCUUACUGGCUGCCCAGAAAGGCCAUCAUUUUGAGCCAUCUGAUGGCUGGCUCAGCCGUUGGAAACAGCGCCAUGGAUUGUCAACACCACGAAAGGAAUCCUCGGGCUCCCAGCACCACUCUUCCCAGUUGAGUGGCCGUACCCAGCUGAUCGCUGCCAGCAGGAGUUGGUCAAAGACAAGAAGGCAACUGAGCGCAUCACACUUCUGAUUUGUGCUAAUCUGACUGGAACAGAAAAGAGGCCAUUGCUACUAGUUGGAGACAGUGGAGCAUCGCGGUCCUUUCCAGACGACCCUUCACGGCUGCCACUCAUUUAUUGUCUUCCUCCAAAAGAAAAUGAACAAGCUUGAUGAUUGGAAUCCAUGUCAGUGUAAGAAUGAUAUUCAUUUGUUUAUCAAAUGAUGAUGAUGGAAUAAGGGAGUUGCUUACCUGGUACAACGAACAAAUUGAAAGGAGUUUUCGAUAGUGUGGCAAUGCAUAAGGUGAAGAGCAAGAAGUAGGUUGAAUGUAUUGGAACUAUUAGGGUCAUGUAAACAACAGAUCUAUUGCAUUGUGACACUGCAACAUGUGUAUUGAGGAAGAGAAAUAAAAGUGCAUUGUGGAUGUUUGUUCCUGCAUUCAGCUUCGGUUGAGUAAAAGAAACUUUCCUAAA